ACCUCGUCUGCCUCUCUCCUGCAUCCCCCCCUGUCUGGUAACAUGUACCUCGUCUGCCCUCUGCCUGUCUCCCCCUGUCUGGUACAUGUCCCGCGUCUGCCCUCUCCUGUCUCCCCCUGUCUGGUACAUGUACCUCGUCCGCCUCUCCUGUCUGCCCCCUGUCUGGUACUACCAGUACCUCGUCGCCCUCUCCUGUCUCCCCCUGUCCUGGUACAUGUACCUCGUCUGCCCUCUCCUGUCUCCCCCUGUCUGGUACAGGUACCUCGUCUGCCCUCUCCUGUCUCCCCCUGUCUGGUACAGGUACCUCGUCUGCCCUCUCCUGUCUCCCCCUGUCUGGUACAGACCUCGUCUGCCCUCUCCUGUCUCCCCCUGUCUGACAAUGUACCACGUCGUCGCCUCUCCCUGUCUCCCCCUGUCUGGUACAGAGGCAGACAUGUACCUCGUCUGCCCUCUCCUGUCUCCCCCUGUCUUGUACAGGACCCUCGUCUGUCUGGGCCCCUCCUGUCUCCCCUGUCUGGUACAGGUACCUCGUCUGCUGUCCCUGUCUCCUGUCUCCUCCCCCUGUCUGGUACACUGUACCUCGUCUGCCCUCUCCUGUCUCCCCCUGUCUGGUACAGGUACCCUCGUCUGCCCUCUCCUCCCUGUCUCCCCUGUCUGGUACAGGUACCUCGUCUGCCCUCCUGUCUCCCCCUGUCUGGUACAGGUACCACUCGUCUGCCCUCUCCUGUCUCCCCUGUCUGGUACAGGUACCCCUCGUCUGCCUCCUGCCCUCUCCUGUCUCCCUCCCCCUGUCGGGUACAUGUACCUCGUCUGCCCUCUCCUGUCUCCCCCUGUCUGGUACAGGUACCGUCGCUGCCCUCUCCUGUCUCCCCCUGUCUGGUGCAGGUACCUCCACCACACUCAUCCCUCUCUCCUCUCUCUCUCUCUGGCCUGUCUCCCCCUGUCUGGUACAGGUACCUCCACCACACUCACCCCUCUCUCUCUCUCUCUCUGGCCUGUCUCCCCCUGUCUGGUGCAGGUACCCCCCACCACCACACUCACCCCUCUCGUCUCUCUCUCUCUGGCCUGU
rnacentral:lncRNA from 1 species